GCCCUACGGGCGGCUGCAGUGGGGAAUAUUGGACAAUGGGCGCAAGCCUGAUCCAGCAAUGCCGCGUGUGUGAAGAAGGCCUGCGGGUUGUAAAGCACUUUAAGCAGGAAAGAAGGCUUCAGGGUUAAUACCCUUGGGGAUUGACGUUACCUGCAGAAUAAGCACCGGCUAACUCCGUGCCAGCAGCCGCGGUAAUACGGAGGGUGCGAGCGUUAAUCGGAAUUACUGGGCGUAAAGCGCGCGUAGGCGGUUUGCUAAGUCCGCUGUGAAAGCCCCGGGCUUAACCUGGGAACUGCAGUGGAUACUGGCAAGCUAGAGUAUGGUAGAGGAGAGUGGAAUUUCCGGUGUAGCAGUGAAAUGCGUAGAGAUCGGAAGGAACACCAGUGGCGAAGGCGGCUCUCUGGACCAAUACUGACGCUGAGGUGCGAAAGCGUGGGGAGCAAACAGGAUUAGAUACCCGUGUAGUC
rnacentral:rRNA from 1 species